GACGAACGCUGGCGGCGUGCUUAACACAUGCAAGUCGAACGGAAAGGCCCUGCUUUUGUGGGGUGCUCGAGUGGCGAACGGGUGAGUAACACGUGAGUAACCUGCCCUUGACUUUGGGAUAACUUCAGGAAACUGGGGCUAAUACCGGAUAGGAGCUCCUGCUGCAUGGUGGGGGUUGGAAAGUUUCGGCGGUUGGGGAUGGGCUCGCGGCUUAUCAGCUUGUUGGUGGGGUAGUGGCUUACCAAGGCUUUGACGGGUAGCCGGCCUGAGAGGGUGACCGGCCACAUUGGGACUGAGAUACGGCCCAGACUCCUACGGGAGGCAGCAGUGGGGAAUAUUGCACCAUGGGCGGAAGCCUGAUGCAGCAACGCCGCGUGCGGGAUGACGGCCUUCGGGUUGUAAACCGCUUUCGCCUGUGACGAAGCGUGAGUGACGGUAAUGGGUAAAGAAGCACCGGCUAACUACGUG
rnacentral:rRNA from 1 species